AAUUGUUCAACACAGACUUGCUUGUGAAGGAGGUGGAGAGAGUUUUCGAUUCUACGCAUCCUGAUCCUUUUGAGCUUGAUAAGGCCAAGAAAAUGCUCAAGGAACAUGAACAGGCGCUUAUGGCUGCCAUUGCAAGGCUUGCUGAUACUUCUGAUGGUGAAAUUGAUGGAGAUCCACCGUAUUCGCAUGAGCAUGCAAUGCAACAGGGAUGAAGGAGAAAGCUGUAUGUAAGUUAUGGUGGUUGGUGAUGAUGAAAACCACCAAGGACUCUGGAUUGAUAAAAGAAACAUUGUGCUCUCAGCUCAGGAGAUGGAAAUGAGUCAGUCUAGUUCUUCGUUUAAGAAAUGGUUCACCAAAAAUGUAUGAAAGAAAGAAUUGUUAGUUUAGGAUUGGGACGUAGUAGGAGGAAUCUGUUUGUAAUCUCACAAUAUAUUUGUGGUUUUAGAGAAUUUAACCCUGUGGCUGACUA